CGUUGCGUUUGAAAGAUCCCGCCAACAGACGCCUGCCAGCUAGCGCGCCAGAAGUCUAAAGACGGGGCUUAGGUCCGGACCCGUUAGUCAGCGAAAUCUUCAGUCAAAGAAUGUCUGGGGAAAAUUUUCUACAACCCUUUCACAACACACAAUGGUGGUGUGAGACACGAGUGACUCAAAUUGUCACCAUAAUCCGCCUUCUACUGAGGCCCUCGUCAUGGCAGUCAUCUUUCUAUCGUCACCAUAACUCUCAGCACGACGGUCUGACGGUUGCUGCCGCCAUGUUUGUAACAUUCCACAGACCUGGAUUUGUGAACCUAGACAAAUGACUUGGGGAGGAUUCCAGUCCGACAGUGAAGUGAGAAACCACCAUGGUAUGCAAAGCAGUAAACAACGUUUGACGGUAAGAAACUUAUUAUACAGGGCGAGGGUGCCCCCUAUAAUACCCUCAGACGAAGCGGGGUACUUAUCAGUGGCUCACCCUGUAGUGCAAUACAGUAACCCUAACCCCUGUAAAGUCAGGGGGCGCUAAAGGAAGGAAGAAAGAAAUGUACAAGACUCUACAGCUUCAUACUUCGCUUGUUGAUCGAGGAUGGAGAGAGGAGAAGAGGGUCGACGUUUCGAGUCAAAAGAAAUGAAUGACCCCGUCACCUGACUGUGGAGCAGAGCAAACCUCUGUAGAAUCCAUUGGGAACAUAUUAGAAGGAAAUGAACCUCCACAGCCACCUACACAAGCCGAACAGCCUCCGACCUUUCCACAGACCAAAAGAAUGUUCCUGCUAGAUGUUGUUGGGAUUUGAAUGAGGAGCCAACCCAGAACGACAAAUACCGCCAUCUGUUUUACUUGUAAUGUUAAUCACAAAGCUGACAGGUUUGAUGACUGUUUUCCCCUGGAGCAUACCUAGACUGAUUAUCUCAGCCAAGCUCAACAACCGGGACAUUCACCAAGAGGGAAGCCCCAUGACAUCUAAAGCAGUGAGCAAUUAAUUCUUUAAGAGAGGAAAAGGUAAGUUGAUGUCGUGAAAAGUUUAAACUUUUAAAUUACUUUUGGGAAUUAUUUUGCGCUUUGUUUUCUAAUCGUGUCCAAUGUCACAUUCAUCUGUAACACAUUAAAAUCCGUAUACACAUAUUCUUUUGUGUGUUUACUGAUAAGGGGUUGGGGGAGAAAAAGCUAUUGUAAGUUCACUUUUCGUGUUGAUGGGAAACUUUUUAUAAAACUGUUACAUAAAGGUGGCUUCAUCUUCUCAUUUCGCGUUCAGUUUAGACUUUGAAACUGAGAUGCAUUUCGUGAAUAUUUUAUUGCAGUAUUAAUUCUGCGUUGGAUCGUGACAACCUCAGCGAGAGAUGACCAUCUGAAAUUUCUACAACUUUCAAGUAGAAACACCUAAGAACUUUAACGCAAAAGAAACUACGUUUAUUUUCUUUAUAUUUUUUUGGCUUUUUGUGUGUUUAAUUCUGUUUUUGUCUUGGGAACAGUAUGUGCAUCUGUAUGUAUGUUUACUCACACAAACAAACAAUUAUAUACACAAACAUACUUCUCUCUCUCUCUCACACACACGAACUUUCAAAAUUUUUCACAAUCUGCGUUAGAGUCUUCACAGACAUUUCAGACGACAAUAGUUGAUGACAGGAUAUGGCAGAGGAGAAAACAAGCAAAAUAAAAAUAAUAAACAACUUUAUGAAUCCCAGAAGGCAAUUAUAUUCUUAUGUUCUGUUACAAAAAUAGACAAGUGUUAGUUGCGGGAAAAAACAUAAGGACUAAAAGGUUGUGCAUCAUAGAACACUUCACAACAUGCAAACUAAUCUUACAUCACACAUCCAUGUAAACAAACAACUGACGAUUCCAUCUAUAAAUGGCCAGGAAAAAAGCAGUAAACAGUAAAGUCCCUCAACACUUUAUCAAAGGGAUUGGGAAAGCAAAGUGCCUCAACCAAUGGACAAUUACUUGUCAUGCCCUUUGCUCUAGAAAUGCAUGUAGAUGCAUGUGAUUUACUCCUCUAGAUGAAACUUCUCCGUUCAAUAAGGCAUUGUCAUCAAGUGUCAAAGGAGAGUAUAUUAACACUGACACUUUACCCCCCUGCAACCAAUGAUUAUCAUAUCAGAAGCGCGGUCACACACACACAAGGUACGUCUACUUUGUGUUACAAUAUUUCGGAAUUUUAUCUGCAAGUACAAUGUAAUAACCUGGAAAACUGCCCUUGGAUGACCAUUAUUUAACACAAUAUUGCAGGAAAAUGCUAUAUGUCUACAUGUUAGUCAGCGCGCAAAUAGAAUACGAUAUGAAGUCAGCCGUCUGUCCUUCUACCAACUGUGGUGGUUGUUGGCAGACUUCCGUUAUCUACAUCCCACGUCACGACAGUUUCCAGAGUCGUCUGUCGUAAAACAUGUCGUAAUUCCAUGAGUUCGACUAAGCAGCGACUUGCAAACAGUCCUCAGUGUCUUCGUCUUUGUUGUCAGUUCACCUGGUACACCACACGAGCAGUCUGGUGCGAGGGAGGAAUUCUACUCAUGUGUAAACAUUGGUAGAAGCUAAAUAUAGACCGGAAAUUCCCAUUUCUCUAGAGCUGCGCUAUUUUAAAGUCACAAAGCAAGUUUACAAGCUGCUAUGGCUCUGUCACAAGGUGUGUAUAGUGUUUGAUGUCAAGAUCUUUUAUACUACAUUAAAUAUAUAUGUGCAAUCAUUUCCAGGUGAAUGCAGUUUUAUUCAUUUGUUCAGAAAAUAAACUGAUCAGGUAGAGUCGACAUAAGAAACGUGGAGAACUUUAUACAAGUAUCUUCCCCUCCAGAGUGAGUUUCAUGUCUUAAUUGUAGAUUAGUGUCCACCUCGCGAUUUACUUUAUACUCCAAUACAUCGAUAUAGUGUAGAACCAAGAAUUGUAUAUCAAGUGCUAUAUCUGUCUCUUACAAUGUUCCAGCACCUAUCGUCAAAACACAGCCCCGGGGAACUGGUCUCAUGGGGAACAUUGGCACAGUCGCAUUCAACAAGGGAUGCUAUUGGUCAGCCACUCACCCAGAAUUCUUCAUCUAGUCAACAAGUAGUCAGCACGGACAAGGGGAAGACCACCUCCUGUUGACCCUCGGACCCGACUAUAGGGGGCAGGUGGAGUUAAAGUCCCUUAAGACGAGAUUCUUCAUGAGAAGAACACGCGGAUGACCCUCCAGACCAUCGCCGCUGUUUCUACAAUGCCCUCAGCCAUUCUGCCAAAAUGUCUUUGAGUCCAGCAGGAGCUGAACUGAUGAUGUCAUCGAUAGUUUGACCGGCAGACCUCAAGUUGUCUCCCCCGGUGAAGACGACGACCAUGUACUUAGUGACCUCCUUAUCAAAGAUUGCAACGAGUCGUUUG